rnacentral:rRNA from 1 species
UACGUAGGGCGCGAGCGUUGUCCGGAAUUAUUGGGCGUAAAGAGCUCGUAGGCGGCUUGUCACGUCGGGUGUGAAAGACCGGGGCUUAACUCCGGUUCUGCAUUCGAUACGGGCUAGCUAGAGUGUGGUAGGGGAGAUCGGAAUUCCUGGUGUAGCGGUGAAAUGCGCAGAUAUCAGGAGGAAUCCCGGUGGCGAAAGCGACUCUCUGGACGGCAACUGACGCUGAGGCACGAAAGCGUGGGGAGCAAACAGG